AUGGAUGAUCUGGAGCGCCGCCUGCAGCUUGCGGUGGUGAUGUAUGUGGGCGGGGCCAGACUGAGGGUCUCAUGUGUGGAUGCGGCGAUUGCCAUUUCUAAGCAGCUCGACAUCCCAAGGCACCAUUUUUCGGUGCACAAAUUCCACCCGGAAGAUUUUUUGGUGGUAUUUGCAUCGCACGAGGUCCGCAACAAAGCGCUGGGGGUGCCGUUCGUCGAGCACCAGGGUUUCAAGUUGUUCGUCAAGCCUUGGCUACGGCAAGCGCAAGCCAAAUCCAAGCUCAUGCGUGUUCAGGUGGAUCUGAUGAUUGAAGGUGUGCCUUCCCAUGCUUGGUCGAGAGAGACGGCGACGGAGCUGUUGGGCAGUUCGUGUCUGAUUGAAAGCUUGGCACCAGAGACUGCUAACAGAGAGGAUCUCUCCCUCUUCAAGUUGCAUGCUUGGUGCAUCGACUCGGAUGAGGUUCCUGCUCGCCGCAUGUUGUGGGUUCCGGAGCCGUCCGAGACCGUGGUGAACCCUGCGGCGCUUCUCCCCUCUUUCCGUCAGUUGCUGGAGUAUCCUACGCUCAUUCACAUCGGACGGGUGCGUGAUCAUACACCACCGGAACGCUGGCGACGAUCGCCGAGCUCGGAUGGUGGUAGCGGACAGAGUGGUCUGCUUGACAGUUCUAAUGGGAGCGUUCAGGGUGAGUGGUCAGUGCUUCCCUGGACUCGAGGGGUUUGUGAUGCCCGUGGGGUUGGCCGGAGCACGCCAAACUUCGCCGGCGGUGCUGGACAGGGUCGCUCGUACCGGCAGGUGCUAGAAGGUAGGGUGGGCCCUUCAGAUUGGAGGAUCCCGCCCAUGGGGCCAGGUGUGACGGCGACUGCGGCGCUGGGGGCCACGGGCCUGGUCCACAGGCAGUCUACCCUGGCUGGGGCGCGUUCAAACCAAUGGGUGGUUGAGAAUCCGUGGGAGGGUGAUUUGGUGACAGCUAGCGAGCUGGUCACUCUAGUGCAGAGUGACAGGGGCGCAGAGGAUAGAGAGAUUCCUGACAAAGUGGCGACGAUCAGCAGACAUACCACCCUUCCCUCGGGGGUGGAGCAGAUCCUGCCAAUCGAAAACAGGCAUGUCUCUCUCCCACCUGUGGUGGAGCUACUACAGCCAAUGGAGCAGUCUGGGACAGCUGGGAUUGUGGCCAAUGAUGAUGUGAGGAUCCUGGCUUCUCCUGUCGCGGAACGAGUCCAACAAAUCGAGCUGCAGGGGACAGCUUCUCCGCAGACAGAAGAUGAUAGGGAUCAGGUUUCCACUGUGGAGUUGGGCCCUAUGGGGACGGACCCAGGUGAGGUGGUGGGGGAGGUUGCGCAUGUGGGUCAGCCUUCCCAGCCGCGCUUCCCGAGAGAGCCGGGACCAGGUCAGGGCAGAUGCCUCGCUGAGGGCUGGGCCCCUGUGGAGGAGUUGUUGGCGCCCAAUGAUUCUGUGUAG
rnacentral:rRNA from 1 species